AUACUUGUCUGGCAGGAAAAAUACCAUGAUUACGAAGGUGGUUUUUCCAGGGCGAGGCUUAUCCGUUGCACUCCAGAUGUGCUGAUCUCUGCGAUUUUCCGAAAAGUGGGAAACUCAACUGCAUGAUUGGUGGUAGUGGGAGACUGCGUUCGCACUUUCCCCCC
ensembl:snRNA U1 U1 spliceosomal RNA